UGAGGAAUAUUGGUCAAUGGACGAGAGUCUGAACCAGCCAAGUAGCGUGCAGGAAGACGGCCCUAUGGGUUGUAAACUGCUUUUAUAAGGGAAUAAAGUGAGUCUCGUGAGACUUUUUGCAUGUACCUUAUGAAUAAGGACCGGCUAAUUCCGUGCCAGCAGCCGCGGUAAUACGGAAGGUCCGGGCGUUAUCCGGAUUUAUUGGGUUUAAAGGGAGCGUAGGCCGGAGAUUAAGCGUGUUGUGAAAUGUAGACGCUCAACGUCUGCACUGCAGCGCGAACUGGUUUCCUUGAGUACGCACAAAGUGGGCGGAAUUCGUGGUGUAGCGGUGAAAUGCUUAGAUAUCACGAAGAACUCCGAUUGCGAAGGCAGCUCACUGGAGCGCAACUGACGCUGAAGCUCGAAAGUGCGGGUAUCGAACAGGAUUAGAUACCCUGGUAGUCCGCACGGUAAACGAUGGAUGCCCGCUGUUGGUCUGAAUAGGUCAGCGGCCAAGCGAAAGCAUUAAGCAUCCCACCUGGGGAGUACGCCGGCAACGGUGAAACUCAAAGGAAUUGACGGGGGCCCGCACAAGCGGAGGAACAUGUGGUUUAAUUCGAUGAUACGCGAGGAACCUUACCUGGGCUUGAAUUGCAGAGGAAGGAUUUGGAGACAAUGACGCCCUUCGGGGCCUCUGUGAAGGUGCUGCAUGGUUGUCGUCAGCUCGUGCCGUGAGGUGUCGGCUUAAGUGCCAUAACGAGCGCAACCCCUCUCCUUAGUUGCCAUCAGGUCAUGCUGGGCACUCUGGGGACACUGCCACCGUAAGGUGUGAGGAAGGUGGGGAUGACGUCAAAUCAGCACGGCCCUUACGUCCGGGGCUACACACGUGUUACAAUGGCAGGUACAGAGAGACGGUCCCUUGCAAAAUGGAUCAAAUCCUUAAAGCCUGUCUCAGUUCGGACUGGGGUCUGCAACCCGACCCCACGAAGCUGGAUUCGCUAGUAAUCGCGCAUCAGCCAUGGCGCGGUGAAUACGUUCCC
rnacentral:rRNA from 1 species